rnacentral:rRNA from 1 species
UACGUAGGGGGCAAGCGUUGUCCGGAAUCAUUGGGCGUAAAGAGCGUGUAGGCGGCCAGAAAAGUCCGCUGUGAAAACUCGAGGCUCAACUUCGAGCUGUCGGUGGAAACUUUCUGGCUAGAGUCCGGAAGAGGAGAAUGGAAUUCCUGGUGUAGCGGUGAAAUGCGCAGAUAUCGGGAGGAACACCAAUGGCGAAGGCAGCUCGCUGGGACGGUACUGACGCUGAGACGCGACAGCGUGGGGAGCAAACAGG